rnacentral:rRNA from 1 species
ACUAAGCGUACACGGUGGAUGCCCUGGCAGUCAGAGGCGAUGAAGGACGUGCUAAUCUGCGAUAAGCGUCGGUAAGGUGAUAUGAACCGUUAUAACCGGCGAUUUCCGAAUGGGGAAACCCAGUGUGAUUCGUCACACUAUCAUUAACUGAAUCCAUAGGUUAAUGAGGCGAACCGGGGGAACUGAAACAUCUAAGUACCCCGAGGAAAAGAAAUCAACCGAGAUUCCCCCAGUAGCGGCGAGCGAACGGGGAGCAGCCCAGAGCCUGAAUCAGUGUGUGUGUUAGUGGAAGCGUCUGGAAAGGCGCGCGAUACAGGGUGACAGCCCCGUACACAAAAAUGCACAUGCUGUGAGCUCGAUGAGUAGGGCGGGACACGUGGUAUCCUGUCUGAAUAUGGGGGGACCAUCCUCCAAGGCUAAAUACUCCUGACUGACCGAUAGUGAACCAGUACCGUGAGGGAAAGGCGAAAAGAACCCCGGCGAGGGGAGUGAAAAAGAACCUGAAACCGUGUACGUACAAGCAGUGGGAGCACGCUUAGGCGUGUGACUGCGUACCUUUUGUAUAAUGGGUCAGCGACUUAUAUUCUGUAGCAAGGUUAACCGAAUAGGGGAGCCGAAGGGAAACCGAGUCUUAACUGGGCGUUAAGUUGCAGGGUAUAGACCCGAAACCCGGUGAUCUAGCCAUGGGCAGGUUGAAGGUUGGGUAACACUAACUGGAGGACCGAACCGACUAAUGUUGAAAAAUUAGCGGAUGACUUGUGGCUGGGGGUGAAAGGCCAAUCAAACCGGGAGAUAGCUGGUUCUCCCCGAAAGCUAUUUAGGUAGCGCCUCGUGAAUUCAUCUCCGGGGGUAGAGCACUGUUUCGGCAAGGGGGUCAUCCCGACUUACCAACCCGAUGCAAACURCGAAUACCGGAGAAUGUUAUCACGGGAGACACACGGCGGGUGCUAACGUCCGUCGUGAAGAGGGAAACAACCCAGACCGCCAGCUAAGGUCCCAAAGUCAUGGUUAAGUGGGAAACGAUGUGGGAAGGCCCAGACAGCCAGGAUGUUGGCUUAGAAGCAGCCAUCAUUUAAAGAAAGCGUAAUAGCUCACUGGUCGAGUCGGCCUGCGCGGAAGAUGUAACGGGGCUAAACCAUGCACCGAAGCUGCGGCAGCGACGCUUAUGCGUUGUUGGGUAGGGGAGCGUUCUGUAAGCCUGYGAAGGUGUGCUGUGAGGCAUGCUGGAGGUAUCAGAAGUGCGAAUGCUGACAUAAGUAACGAUAAAGCGGGUGAAAAGCCCGCUCGCCGGAAGACCAAGGGUUCCUGUCCAACGUUAAUCGGGGCAGGGUGAGUCGACCCCUAAGGCGAGGCCGAAAGGCGUAGUCGAUGGGAAACAGGUUAAUAUUCCUGUACUUGGUGUUACUGCGAAGGGGGGACGGAGAAGGCUAUGUUGGCCGGGCGACGGUUGUCCCGGUUUAAGCGUGUAGGCUGGUUUUCCAGGCAAAUCCGGAAAAUCAAGGCUGAGGCGUGAUGACGAGGCACUACGGUGCUGAAGCAACAAAUGCCCUGCUUCCAGGAAAAGCCUCUAAGCAUCAGGUAACAUCAAAUCGUACCCCAAACCGACACAGGUGGUCAGGUAGAGAAUACCAAGGCGCUUGAGAGAACUCGGGUGAAGGAACUAGGCAAAAUGGUGCCGUAACUUCGGGAGAAGGCACGCUGAUAUGUAGGUGAAGUCCCUCGCGGAUGGAGCUGAAAUCAGUCGAAGAUACCAGCUGGCUGCAACUGUUUAUUAAAAACACAGCACUGUGCAAACACGAAAGUGGACGUAUACGGUGUGACGCCUGCCCGGUGCCGGAAGGUUAAUUGAUGGGGUUAGCGCAAGCGAAGCUCUUGAUCGAAGCCCCGGUAAACGGCGGCCGUAACUAUAACGGUCCUAAGGUAGCGAAAUUCCUUGUCGGGUAAGUUCCGACCUGCACGAAUGGCGUAAUGAUGGCCAGGCUGUCUCCACCCGAGACUCAGUGAAAUUGAACUCGCUGUGAAGAUGCAGUGUACCCGCGGCAAGACGGAAAGACCCCGUGAACCUUUACUAUAGCUUGACACUGAACAUUGAGCCUUGAUGUGUAGGAUAGGUGGGAGGCUUWGAAGUGUGGACGCCAGUCUGCAUGGAGCCGACCUUGAAAUACCACCCUUUAAUGUUUGAUGUUCUAACGUKGACCCGUAAUCCGGGUUGCGGACAGUGUCUGGUGGGUAGUUUGACUGGGGCGGUCUCCUCCUAAAGAGUAACGGAGGAGCACGAAGGUUGGCUAAUCCUGGUCGGACAUCAGGAGGUUAGUGCAAUGGCAUAAGCCAGCUUGACUGCGAGCGUGACGGCGCGAGCAGGUGCGAAAGCAGGUCAUAGUGAUCCGGUGGUUCUGAAUGGAAGGGCCAUCGCUCAACGGAUAAAAGGUACUCCGGGGAUAACAGGCUGAUACCGCCCAAGAGUUCAUAUCGACGGCGGUGUUUGGCACCUCGAUGUCGGCUCAUCACAUCCUGGGGCUGAAGUAGGUCCCAAGGGUAUGGCUGUUCGCCAUUUAAAGUGGUACGCGAGCUGGGUUUAGAACGUCGUGAGACAGUUCGGUCCCUAUCUGCCGUGGGCGCUGGAGAAYUGAGGGGGGCUGCUCCUAGUACGAGAGGACCGGAGUGGACGCAUCACUGGUGUUCGGGUUGUCAUGCCAAUGGCACUGCCCGGUAGCUAAAUGCGGAAGAGAUAAGUGCUGAAAGCAUCUAAGCACGAAACUUGCCCCGAGAUGAGUUCUCCCUGACCCUUUAAGGGUCCUGAAGGAACGUUGAAGACGACGACGUUGAUAGGCCGGGUGUGUAAGCGCAGCGAUGCGUUGAGCUAACCGGUACUAAUGAACCGUGAGGCUUAACC